rnacentral:rRNA from 1 species
GUCUCCCCCCUCUAAUCAGUGAAAUUGAUCUCCCCGUGAAGAAGCGGGGAUAUAAAUAUAAGACGAGAAGACCCCAUGGAGCUUUAAACCCAACAACACCUAUCUAUUUUAUUCCCCCAUAUUUAUACGGUUAUGUUUGUUUGGUUUUAGGUUGGGGUGACCGCGGAGUAUAAAACAACCUCCACGAAGAAAAGACUAAUAAUCUUUAUCAGAGAAAGACAUUUCUAAGAAAUAAUAUAUUAACUUUAAAUGAUCCGAUAUUCGAUUAACGAAUCAAGUUACCCUGGGGAUAACAGCGCAAUCCACCUUAAGAGCCCUUAUCGACAGGUGGGUUUACGACCUCGAUGUUGGAUCAGGGUAUCACAGUGGUGCAGCAGCUACUAAUGGUUCGUUUGUUCAACGAUUAAACCCU